CCUACGGGAGGCAGCAGUCGGGAAUAUUGCGCAAUGGAGGAAACUCUGACGCAGUGACGCCGCGUAUAGGAAGAAGGUUUUCGGAUUGUAAACUAUUGUCGUUAGGGAAGAUAAAAGACUGUACCUAAGGAGGAAGCCCCGGCUAACUAUGUGCCAGCAGCCGCGGUAAUACAUAGGGGGCAAGCGUUAUCCGGAAUUAUUGGGUGUAAAGGGUGCGUAGGCGGCCCUGCAAGUCAGAAGUGAAAUCCAUGGGCGUAACCCGUGAACUGCUUUUGAAACCGUAGGGCUUGAGUGAAGUAGAGGCAGGCGGAAUUCCCGGUGUAGCGGUGAAAUGCGUAGAGAUCGGGAGGAACACCAGUGGCGAAGGCGGCCUGCUGGGCUUUAACUGACGCUGAAGCACGAAAGCGUGGGUAGCAAACAGGAUUAGAUACCCCUGUAGUC
rnacentral:rRNA from 1 species